AGUGAACGCUGGCGGUAGGCCUAACACAUGCAAGUCGAACGGCAGCACAGUAAGAGCUUGCUCUUACGGGUGGCGAGUGGCGGACGGGUGAGGAAUACAUCGGAAUCUACUUUUUCGUGGGGGAUAACGUAGGGAAACUUACGCUAAUACCGCAUACGACCUACGGGUGAAAGCAGGGGAUCUUCGGACCUUGCGCGAUUGAAUGAGCCGAUGUCGGAUUAGCUAGUUGGGGGGGUAAAGGCCCACCAAGGCGACGAUCCGUAGCUGGUGUGAGAGGAUGAUCAGCCACACUGGAACUGAGACACGGUCCAGACUCCUACGGGAGGCAGCAGUGGGGAAUAUUGGACAAUGGGCGCAAGCCUGAUCCAGCCAUACCGCGUGGGUGAAGAAGGCCUUCGGGUUGUAAAGCCCUUUUGUUGGGAAAGAAAAGCAGCAGGUUAAUACCCCGCUGUUCUGACGGUACCCAAAGAAUAAGCACCGGCUAACUUCGUG
rnacentral:rRNA from 1 species